AUUGAACGCUGGCGGAAUGCUUUACACAUGCAAGUCGAACGGCAGCACGGGGGCAACCCUGGUGGCGAGUGGCGAACGGGUGAGUAAUACAUCGGAACGUGCCCAGUCGUGGGGGAUAACGCAGCGAAAGCUGUGCUAAUACCGCAUACGAUCUAUGGAUGAAAGCGGGGGACCGUAAGGCCUCGCGCGAUUGGAGCGGCCGAUGGCAGAUUAGGUAGUUGGUGGGGUAAAGGCUCACCAAGCCGACGACCUGUAGCUGGUCUGAGAGGACGACCAGCCACACUGGGACUGAGACACGGCCCAGACUCCUACGGGAGGCAGCAGUGGGGAAUUUUGGACAAUGGGCGCAAGCCUGAUCCAGCCAUUCCGCGUGCAGGAUGAAGGCCCUCGGGUUGUAAACUGCUUUUGUACGGAACGAAAAGCCUUCUUCUAAUACAGGAGGGUCAUGACGGUACCGUAAGAAUAAGCACCGGCUAACUACGUGCCAGCCGCCGCCGUAA
rnacentral:rRNA from 1 species